rnacentral:lncRNA from 1 species
CACAGCUUUGGCCAAUGAAGUGUGAAUGGAAGUUUUCAGAACCUUUAAGAGCCUGUACGCAAUUUGCCAUGCUUUCUCUUUUUGCUUUGUCACCAAAACCUCUGUGUUCCAGAUAGUGACUACUCUGUCUGCGUGGGUCCUGGAGAGAGGAGGAUGCAGAGCACAGCACUUAGCCAACCUGCAAUGGACACGUAGAAUCCUCCUUACUGUCUUGUGUUCAAUGCUGAAGACCUGGUGUCCAUGCCUAACAUAACCUGAAGGUGCCUCUUGAAUGGAUCACAUUUGGCUUUCCUUAUGUCCUUGCUCACUAUCAUGGCUACCACGAGAGCCAAGGCAACCCACAGAGAUGGACUUGAAGUGAGAAAUCUACUCUGACCUUUGCCAGAACAUCCAGCUCAGAUUUUGGCCUAGAAACCUCAAGAAAGGCUCUGGCCUAGACUUGCCCCUUGUUCCUGUCUUCUGGCUCUUGACUGACACUGGUGCUUUCCCCCUGUGGUCCUGCAUGGUGUGUGGUGACUACCUCAUUGGGCCCUAAAACUUCUAAAAUCAUCAGGAGAUAUCACUGAAAAGGUUUCAAAACAAAGCCAUAAUCUCUAGAAAUGUGUCCUUGAUGGGUUGGUCUUCAUUUGCCUGAAGACUGAUCAUUCUAAGGAGGAUUUUGUGCUGCUCUUGUUUUGCUGCUGGGCCUAUCCUGUUUCCAUUCCCAAAUCAAGUAUUCCUGGAAUUUAAGGUAUCACUUUACCAGCCUGACCACAAGUUCCCCAUUGUUUCCUCUGCUCUGCUCAUGACCUGGAAUAAUGCCUCUCCCUGGAUACUAAAUUUACUGACCCUGCCUAGGACCGAGAAGAUUGAUGAGUCCUCAACCCGUGCAUGUCUUCAAAAAGCCACCAACUGAUAGCUACAAAACUGCACUUCCUAGAGACAUGUUGAGAGAGGUUCAAGGCUCAACAGAACUUACCCUUUUGCUGUCAGAGCUCCACCACCAGAUAAGCACAACUGAGCGAAUGACACCAACCAGUGCCAAGAGAAGCAGGACUACCCAACUACACUUUGCCUAAAUUCCUGAUUCACAGAAUUAUAAGCAAAUAAAAUGAUUGUUUAAAGCA